rnacentral:rRNA from 1 species
GCCAGAGCCAUAUCUCCCUGCAGUUCCAGCCUGGAUUCCCACUGAAGCUAAACAGGGUUGAGGCUGGCCAGUAGCUGGGUAGGAGAACUCUUGGGGAAAACUAAGGUGGCUGCUGGAA